AGUGAACGCUGGCGGCAUGCCUAACACAUGCAAGUCGAACGGCAGCACAGUAAGAGCUUGCUCUUACUGGUGGCGAGUGGCGGACGGGUGAGGAAUACAUCGGAAUCUACUUUUUCGUGGGGGACAACGUAGGGCAACUUACGCUAAUACCGCAUACGAUCUACGGGUGAAAGCAGAGGAUCUUCGGACCUUGCGCGAUUGAAUGAGCCGAUGUCGGAUUAGCUAGUUGGCGGGGUAAAGGCCCACCAAGGCGACGAUCCGUAGCUGGUCUGAGAGGAUGAUCAGCCACACUGGAACUGAGACACGGUCCAGACUCCUACGGGAGGCAGCAGUGGGGAAUAUUGGACAAUGGGCGCAAGCCUGAUCCAGCAAUGCCGCGUGGGUGAAGAAGGCCUUCGGGUUGUAAAGCCCUUUUGUUGGGAAAGAAAAGCAGCAUGUUAAUACCCCGCUGUUCUGACGGUACCCAAAGAAUAAGCACCGGCUAACUACGUG
rnacentral:rRNA from 1 species